CCUCGAUGUCGGCUCAUCACAUCCUGGGGCUGAAGUAGGUCCCAAGGGUAUGGCUGUUCGCCAUUUAAAGUGGUACGCGAGCUGGGUUUAGAACGUCGUGAGACAGUUCGGUCCCUAUCUGCCGUGGGCGCUGGAGAACUGAGGGGGGCUGCUCCUAGUACGAGAGGACCGGAGUGGACGCAUCACUGGUGUUCGGGUUGUCAUGCCAAUGGCACUGCCCGGUAGCUAAAUGCGGAAGAGAUAAGUGCUGAAAGCAUCUAAGCACGAAACUUGCCCCGAGAUGAGUUCUCCCUGAGACUUUAGGUCUCCUGAAGGAACGUUGAAGACGACGACGUUGAUAGGCCGGGUGUGUAAGCGCAGCGAUGCGUUGAGCUAACCGGUACUAAUGAACCGUGAGGCUUAACCUUAC
rnacentral:rRNA from 1 species